UGGGGAAUUUUGGACAAUGGGCGAAAGCCUGAUCCAGCAAUGCCGCGUGUGUGAAGAAGGCCUUCGGGUUGUAAAGCACUUUUGUCCGGAAAGAAAUCCUUGGCUCUAAUACAGUCGGGGGAUGACGGUACCGGAAGAAUAAGCACCGGCUAACUACGUGCCAGCAGCCGCGGUAAUACGUAGGGUGCAAGCGUUAAUCGGAAUUACUGGGCGUAAAGCGUGCGCAGGCGGUUUGCUAAGACCGAUGUGAAAUCCCCGGGCUCAACCUGGGAACUGCAUUGGUGACUGGCAGGCUAGAGUAUGGCAGAGGGGGGUAGAACUCCACGUGUAGCAGUGAAAUGCGUAGAGAUGUGGAGGAAUACCGAUGGCGAAGGCAGCCCCCUGGCCAAGUACUGACGCUCAUGCACGAAAGCGUGGGGAGCAAACAGGAUUAGAUACCCUGGUAGUCCACGCCCUAAACGAUGUCAACUAGUUGUUGGGGAUUCAUUUCCUUAGUAACGUAGCUAACGCGUGAAGUUGACCGCCUGGGGAGUACGGUCGCAAGAUUAAAACUUAAAUGAAUUGACGGGGUCAUAGCUGUUUCCU
rnacentral:rRNA from 1 species